GUUACGGAGCAGCGAACGGGUGAGUAACACGUGAACAACCUGUCCUCACGUUCCGAAUAAUUGGGAGAAAUCCCUUGUAAUGCGGGCGAGGAAUUAGAUGAGGCAUCUCAUUUAACGGGAACGCGCAAGCGGCGCGAGGAGGGGUUCGCGGCCUAUCAGUUUGUUGGUGGGGUAACGGCCUACCAAGACGACGACGGGUAGCUGGUCUGAGAGGAUGGUCAGCCACAUUGGAACUGAGAUACUGUCCAGACUCCUACGGGAGGCUGCAGUCGAGAAUCUUGGGCAAUGCACGAAAGUGUGACCCAGCGACGCCGCGUGAAGGAUGAAGGCCCUCUGGGUCGUAAACUUCUUUUAUGGGGAAAGAAAAGCUCGCAAGAGCCUUGACGGUACCCCAUGAAUAAGCCACGGCUAACUACGUGCCAGCAGCCGCGGUAAUACGUAGGUGGCAAGCGUUGUCCGGAUUUACUGGGCGUAAAGCGAACGCAGGCGGAUACUUAAGUAGAGAGUGAAAGGCGGGAGCUCAACUCCUGGACUGCUCCCUAUACUGGGUGUCUUGAGUGGCGGAGAGGAAGAUGGAACAAAUCGUGUAGCGGUGAAAUGCGUAGAUAUGAUUUGGAACACCAAUGGCGAAAGCAAUCUUCUGGACGCAAACUGACGCUGAGGUUCGAAAGCCAUGGUAGCGAACAGGAUUAGAUACCCUGGUAGUCAUGGCCAUAAACGAUGUUCACUAGGUGUCGGGGCUUCGCCUCG
rnacentral:rRNA from 1 species